GUACACCUGCGUCGUUCUUCAACAGCAGAAUACCAGCGUCGCUUAUCAACAGCAGCACUAAGGUGGUUGAGUAAAAGGUGAAUAAGAGAGCAGCAGUGUGAUUCAAAGGAAGUGACCAUGGAGGACCUGAUUGCGCAAAGGAAGUGACCAUGGAGGACCUGAUUGCGCAAAAAAUGCAAGAAAAAAGUCAAAUUAUGAUGGUGAGGUCAUAGUUCAACAUGUUGUUUCAGUUCAAAAACAUAGAUAACCAAAAGCAAACACCUAGGCUAGGUGUUCGUGUACAACAUCCAAGUACCCCUUGUUUCAUUUUCCCUUAUCCAUCUCCAUCUAUCUUUCCGAAAACCUAACUCUACCAAUCUCAUCAACAACCAGCUCCACGUCCCUGUCAGUUUCAGUAUUCAACAUCAACUACUCUCUGCCACCUUCUCUUUCAAUAUGUCAAACCCAUACCACUAUCACCAUCUUUCCCGGUCAGAUUAGAUCUUAUGUUUCUGUUUUUUUUUAAUCUUUAUAUUCAUUUCAAACUAUCCCUAAACUAUCAACUGCAUAAGAAUAGGUCGGCUUAUUGGUUUUCAAGAGCGACAAAAUUGAUUAGUAGAAAUAUGAUGCUCCUGGAAAAUACUAACAGUGGCAGCAGGGAAUUGACGGCAAUAGGGUGCCCGUGGUGAACACAAGCAACACGCAUUGUCAAAUUAGAUAUGAAUCUGACUUCCUUGCAUUACCAACAACAACAUGUGAUUAUUUGUGAAGACAGUUUUUUGGAUGUGCAUGAUGAGGAAGGAUACAUCAGUGGUGAGUCCCAAGAAAAUUAAAUCCCAAAUAUUUCUUUUCGUUUAUUUGUUGGUUGUGUGGAUUGCGAUUUUGGGGGGAGAAAUCUAUGUAUAAAUAGGGGUUGUCAUGAUGUAUUAAGGGAGGCAGUGAGUGUGGUUUGAAAAUACUCUAAUUAACUUUCGUUUUUUCUUAAGAACGGUGAUAAAAUCAGUUGGGUUAAAUUGCUAUAAUAGGUUUAUUUAUAUUUGAUUCUCAUUUAUCAACUGUUUUCAAUAUGUGUUAUUUACUUAACAAGGGUUGAGAUGAAACCCUUAAACCAUGUAUAGUCAAUUAUAUCUAAGAUGUUGUUUUUAUUGUUUU